AAAUAUUCAUAAUCCUCGCUGUAGACCGUUGGUGUCCCCGGACUUAAUGGCUUGUCCGCCAACCGAGGCCGGGGUGGCGGUAAUUUUGACGGAAAAUAUCUUUCCGGCAGGCCCCUGCUUUGUCAUCUACAGGGGCCUGCCUUUUUGUUAUUGAUU
rfam:Desulfotomaculum sp. LMa1 LMA27_trimmed_contig_59, whole genome shotgun sequence.